rnacentral:rRNA from 1 species
UACGUAGGGUGCGAGCGUUAAUCGGAAUUACUGGGCGUAAAGCGUGCGCAGGCGGUUCGUUGUGUCGGCGGUGAAAGCCCCGGGCUUAACCUGGGAAUGGCCGUUGAAACUGGCGAACUGGAGUGUGGCAGAGGGGGGUGGAAUUCCGCGUGUAGCAGUGAAAUGCGUAGAUAUGUGGAGGAACACCGAUGGCGAAGGCAGCCCCCUGGGUCAAGACUGACGCUCAUGCACGAAAGCGUGGGGAGCAAACAGG